rnacentral:miRNA from 10 species
AUCUCGGAAGCUAAGCAGGGUUGGGCCUGGUUAGUACUUGGACGGGAAAAAUUUAUAUUAUUGCUAUGGUUUGUAUUUUAUCACUGUUUCCUCUGUGCUGUGGUGUUU